GAGAGCUGGACGAUGUCGUUCAGAAUGAGAAAGUUUUCCAAGCUGUGUCACAGAGAAUGGAGGCUCACGGCUGAGCACAAGAAGCACAGUAACAA